AUGGCCAUAUCCCUUUGAAAUACUGGUUCUCAUUUGAUCACUGAAGUUAAGCAGUGUUGAACCUGGUCAGUUCUUAGAUGAGUGACUGCUCAGAAAUACUAAGUGCUGUAA